AUUGAACGCUGGCGGCAGGCCUAACACAUGCAAGUCGAACGGUAACAGGAAGAAGCUUGCUUCUUUGCUGACGAGUGGCGGACGGGUGAGUAAUGUCUGGGAAACUGCCUGAUGGAGGGGGAUAACUACUGGAAACGGUAGCUAAUACCGCAUAACGUCGCAAGACCAAAGAGGGGGAACUUCGGGCCUCUUGCCAUCGGAUGUGCCCAGAUGGGAUUCGCUAGUAGGUGGGGUAACGGCUCACCUAGGCGACGAUCCCUAGCUGGUCUGAGAGGAUGACCAGCCACACUGGAACUGAGACACGGUCCAGACUCCUACGGGAGGCAGCAGUGGGGAAUAUUGCACAAUGGGCGCAAGCCUGAUGCAGCCAUGCCGCGUGUAUGAAGAAGGCCUUCGGGUUGUAAAGUACUUUCAGCGGGGAGGAAGGGAGUAAAGUUAAUACCUUUACUCAUUGACGUUACCCGCAGAAGAAGCACCGGCUAACUCCGUG
rnacentral:rRNA from 1 species